GAUUAAAGCCGGUGUAAUAUUAUGUUCUGUACGUUUGUUGCGUAUAUGAUAAAUUGACGUAAAUUUAAAGAUAUUGCUAUUGAUACGUGCCUAUUUUGAACUUAAAUUAAUCUUAUUAUUAAUUAAUGAGAAUGUAAUAAAAUGUAUGGUACAACACGCUCGAUCGACUAAUAAUGUUUAGUGAAUCGUAAUUUUAUUCACGAGUAAUUGGCGGUUGAAAACGCCCACGACAAGCUUAACACGA